GACGUAGGAUGCAAGCGUUGUCCGGAUUUAUUGGGCGUAAAGAGUUCGUAGGCGGUUCGUUAAGUCUGAUGUUAAAGAUCAAGGCUCAACCUUGGGAGUGCAUUGGAUACUGGCGGACUGGAGUAUGGUAGAGGCGAGUGGAAUUCCCAGUGUAGCGGUGAAAUGCGUAGAUAUUGGGAAGAACACCGGUGGCGCAAGCGACUCGCUGGGCCAUUACUGACGCUGAGGAACGAAAGCUAGGGGAGCGAAUGGG
rnacentral:rRNA from 1 species